ACCUGAAGUACCUCUCAGUCUCACUCAUCAAAACCCUAACCCCCUUCCAACACAGCACACACACUCUUCAUGUUGCAAAUCUCAGAAGCGUGUACCAUUCUCUCAAUGCCACACCAUUCGCAGUUCUUUACAUCAAGAUUCUGAAGAUGGGUUAUCAGACAUUGGGUUAUCAUAAACCUGAUGUGAUAACCUCGAUUAUACUUUUCUAAGGUCUUUGUCUUAACGGUGAUAUUUACAAAGGUAGGUUUCGACAACAGGCUCCUCAGCAGUUUAUCUCUCAAGAUUAGGUUCAGAAAACUCAACGAUCCAAUUCCUAUGAAAUAUGCAGAGCUGCUCCCUGUUUGAGAAGAACCUUGUCUAGACCAGAGCGCCUCGUCGGAUGCCUAACUGAUCUAUAUAUUUUUUUUCAAUCGCAUCCAUAUUUUGUUUUAAGAUUGACCAUUGGUUCAAUUAUUGUUUGGUAAUGUAUAACACAAUCGUUAUUGACACUGCUUCUAUAUUUUUGUUGCUCUAGCAAUGGGGUUUGUCUUGUGAUUCAAUCAAAAGAAACGAUUGUUUUUAAUCAAUUUAAAAUAAACAAUUUUUUUGUUGAAUGGAAUGAUGAUUAACAAAUUUAUGGAACCUAAUAUUGUUCAUUGAUGGACACACCUAUAAUAUUGUGAUUUAUGAAUUAUGUAAGAUUAAAACAGUAAAUGAAUGAAGUCGUGAAUUUAUUUGAAGAAAUGUGUAAAAUAUGAUAUACUUUCAACACUCGUCUCUAUUCCUUUUGAUAAUUACACAUAACAAAGAUGUAUCAUGUAGUGGGAUCACUAUAACUUCAGCUCUGAUUAAAGUCAUUUUGUGUUAGGUUUAAUUUGAUAUUGUAACUAUAAAAGUGGCUAAUUUUUUUUGUCUGGUAAUUGUUGCUCAAUGAAUUUGAACCUGCUAUGGUUUAUGUUAAUGGUGAUUCUGUCAUGAAAUCUUAGUGAUCAUAUAACUUUAUAAAAUAAUGAAUAAUGUAAAUAUAACUAAUGUGGAAGUCGUGGAAAGCCAGUAACAGUAUGAUUUUCAAUAAAGAAAAGUUUGAUCCCGUUGUAGUGGCUACAAGUGCUGUGGGCUUUGUAGAUGAAUUUAACAAGGCCAAUCCGAAGAGGUCUGGGCAAUACUCCAGAAAUCAACUUGAUAAACGGAAGCCUCCCAAUCUUGAUGCCGGCUGCUUUAAAGAUGGCACAACAAGCUAAGGCAUGCUGAUCCGUGACCACCAAGGCAAUGGCAUCUAUGCUGCAACAAAAUUUGAGGAUGUCUGAAUCUCUCCCACACUAGCUGAAGCAAUAGGCCUUAGAUGGAGCUUCAAUUUGGCAAAGGAAACGAGGUAUGGAAACUUGUUUGAUGCUGAGACUGUUGUGCAGUGCCUUAGAUGGAGCCUCAAUUUGGCAAAGGAAGCGAGGUAUGGAAACUUGUUUGAUGCUGAGACAGUUGUGCAGUGCCUGAACGGUGCUUUAAAGUUAGUUGAAAUAGAUAAUGUGAUCUCAGAUUGUAUGAACUUAAUGUCAUCAAUGAUAAAUAUUAGAUUGUUUUUUAAUUGUAGAGCUAAAAAUGUUGCAGAUCAUAGUCUUGUAGGAAUAGCUAAGAGUAUUGGCUCCAAAAGUUGGGUGGGAAAUGUCCCAGAACCUACUGCCUCAAUUGUAUGGUCCGAUGCUUUGCCAAUCUAAUGAAAUGAGGUUUCUGUCAACAACAAAAAAUAUAACAACCAAUCAUCGUGGUAAUUUUGAUCGACUUUGUUGAUUCUUACAAGGAUCUUUCCUGGUAUUGCUUAUGAAUUUAUGUGUUAUAUAUAUAUAUAUAUAUAUAUAUGUUUUGCGGCAACUUUGGACUUCCUCUGUAUCGUUCAUCACCUUUAUUAUGCUAGGUGUGAGUGGAUGUGUUCGGUUCUUUAUUGCUUAGAGAUUUGGCCAAUAUGAUUUGAAGGGUAAAGAUACCUAGUGAAAUCAGAGCAAUACCGAGAGAGAUUUCGAGUGCUUGAGAAAAUGAUGAGUCCAUUAUGAGCUUCACAAAGUACACAAAAAGCUCUCGAGUCAUCUUCAAUACUUCUGUUAAUGGUGAUGUUUACGAAGCCCUACACUUUCAUGAUGAUUGAUCAACGGGUUAUGUAAUCCGAAGAGGUCUAGGCAAAACUCCAUAAAUCAACUUGAUAAACAGGAGCCUCCCAAUCUUGACUCUUUAAAGCUGAAUGUUGAUGCCGGUUGCUUUGAAGAUGGCACCACAAGCUGAGGGAUGCUCAUCCGUGACCACCAAGGCAAUGGCAUCUAUGCUGCAACAAAAGUUGAGGAUGUUCGAAUCUCUCCCACACUAGUUGAAGCAACAGGCCUUAGAUGGAGCCUCAAUUUGGCAAAGGGAAUGAGGUAUGGAAAUUUGGCAGCAGAACUUGAUAUGCUGAGACAGUUGUGUGCUUUAAAGUUAGUUGAAAUAGAUAAUGUGAUCUCAGAUUGUCUAAACUUAAUGUCACCAAUGAUAAAUGUUAGAUUGUUUUUUAUUUGUAGAGCUAAAAAUGUUGCAGCUCAUAGCCUUGUAGGAAUAGCUUAGAGUAUUGGCUCCAAAAGUUGGGUGGAAAAUGUCCCAGAACCUACUGCCUCAAUUGUAUGGUCAGAUGCUUUGUCAAUCGAAUGAAAUGAGGUUUCUGUCAAAAAAAAAUGAGGAUUUUAUAAAAGGCUCGAAUUUUUCUGUUUA